CUGUCAUAUCACGUUGAAACACCGCUUCUCGUACGAUCACCGAAGUUAAGCAGCGUCAAGCCUGGUCAGUACCUAGAUGGUGACCGCUUGGGAAUAGUAUGUUUUGUA